GGUAAUUUGAGCGGUGACGGGUCGGUCCUCGCGCGCCUCCCUGGGUCCCUGCACCUAGUUGGAGGGGACUGAACGACAACGGGGCGCUACUCAGGCAACCUGGGGGACUCCCCCAAGGGCUGUCAGGCUUCAGCUGGGAGCCGAUGCAACACCCCAGUGGGGAGGGGAGGUCGGCCAAUUCUAAUCCCGACGUGUCCUUGGUCCCAGGCGCUCGGAGCAGCAUCUGAGAGGGCUCACUCUGAUCAGCAGCUGCACGUUAAGCCGCAAACCGGCGUCGCUUCGGCGUUCCGGAACCCAGGCCUGGGGGCCGCGGGGAUUGCCUCUGCGUGCAACUCCGGAAAGUUUCAAGGGGUCCCCCGACUGCACAGGUACCCUCACCUUUCCUGCCGGCGAACGCUGGCGACCGCCCGACCCUGCCCUCUUUCUCUCUUCGCACGCAGGUCCGGAAAUCGGCUUUGAUAUGGAACUACUCCGCUCUAGCCUGGAAAGGAGACCCGCGCACUCCUCUCGCAGCUAAUUUCGGAUCAUUAAUUUAAUCGGAAAUGAGGUAACCAGUGUAGGAGACAGAGAAAGCAACCGGAGCAUCAAAUGGCAGUUCUCGAGAAUCGACGAGGAACUUAAAUCUGGACUCAGGGUUUCAGUGCGGUCUCCGACUCCCACCACCCCGCCCCUCCGCCUGUCUCGCCGCCAGGUGUGACCUCCACGCG
rnacentral:antisense_RNA from 1 species